UGGUUUAAUUCGAUGAUACGCGUAGGACUUACCUGGCUUAAAUGUAGAGUGCAUUUUUAGAGAUAGAAAUUCCCUUCGGGGCUUUCUGCAAGGUGCUGCAUGGUUGUCGUCAGCUCGUGCCGUGAGAUGUUGGGUUAAGUCCCGCAACGAGCGCAACCCCUAUUGUUAGUUGCCAUCAUUCAGCUGGGCACUCUAGCGAGACUGCCGGUAAUAAACCGGAGGAAGGUGGGGAUGACGUCAAAUCAUCAUGCCCCUUAUGACCUGGGCUACACACGUGCUACAAUGGUUGGUACAACGAGUUGCGAGUCGGUGACGGCGAGCUAAUCUCUUAAAGCCAAUCUCAGUUCGGAUUGUAGGCUGCAACUCGCCUACAUGAAGUCGGAAUCGCUAGUAAUCGCGGAUCAGCACGCCGCGGUGAAUACGUUCCCGGGCCUU
rnacentral:rRNA from 1 species